AAUACCCGCCGAACUUAAGCAUAUCAGUAAGCGGAGGAAAAGAAACUAACAAGGAUUCCCUU
rnacentral:rRNA from 1 species